rnacentral:misc_RNA from 1 species
AAAAAAUUUAAAUUAAAGCAUUAGAAAUCAAUGAUUUCAUCAACAUAAGAACCAUUGAAAAAAUCAUUGAUAACAAAGAGGAACUUUGUCCAGUUUUAUUAACAGAUUUAAUCUCACAAUAUGUGAGUAGGAACAAAUGAAUCUAAACUGAGAAAAUAUAGAAUCGAAAGGAAGAGGCCAUUGACAAGCUUGAUAUUUAUUGCUGAAGGACAAAGGGUACACUUGUGUACGUAAUUUUAUGAAUGCCACAACACAUGAUAUAAGAAUGAAAAUGGCAUUAUAUUUCUGGGAUCAGACUGACGUGCAAAAUAGACUUUCAGCACAUCUGAUGCCUCAGGUGAUUUGUUUGAAUUUUCUCAUCAUCUCCCAAAAAAUAUAAAAGAGAAUCCAGCCAUCUCAUAGCCAAUUGAUGGAGACUAAAAAGGUCACGAAAAGAAUAAAAACCAAAGAAGGUAAAAGCUUCAAAACCAAAACCUUAGUUAAAUAUACAAUUACCAAAAAAGAAGCCUAAUCCAGUGAAUUUCUGAAAUCAGAUGGAGGUGCAAAUAAAUACACAGCAUAGCUGGUGCCUUUGGAAAUCUGAUUGUGCCUUGGACAUCAUUACCUAGGCCCCAAAAUUUAAACAAAAAUUGAAUAGAAUAAAAUAAAUUUAUAAAAAAUUUGGGUCACAAUAACAAAAAGAACUGAUGAGUUCCAGUGUUGCAACAUAUGGCUCAAAGGAGAGGGGGGAAAAAACUUGGCACAUAAAUAACAAAUAUGCAGUAGAGCUGGAGCCUUGAUAAUCUGCAUAACAUCAUAUCCAAACUCAAUAAACGACAAAUGAAGUCCCCCCACUGCAGAUAUCGGAGACUAAUAAUACUAAGUAAGAUCAUAAAACAAAAUUAAAAUCAUAAUCAGAAAGAAUUGGGAUCAGACUGACGUG